rnacentral:lncRNA from 1 species
CACGCAGCCACCACGGGGCGGGGCGGCUCUGCCAGCGUCGCGCUGGGCCGGGCGGGCUGGGCCGCGCCGCAGCGCCGGCGGCUGAUUCGGAGGCGGCGGCGGGGGAUGGACGAGGGUACCUGCGGCGGCCAUCGGCGACGGGCGGCCCAGAUUGCAGCCUCUGUUUAAGUAUUGGGAAGGCUCAGGAUCAUCUUCAACAAGACGGACGUUGAAUGUUUAGCAUCGCCUCUUUGGAUUUUUGCAUGUGAAUUGGAACCGCUUUAUUUCUAGGUAAGACAUAACUGUGGGUUUGUGUUAAGUGCCCUCUUCCUUUUAUAUGUCAGUUGUGAGAAAGCUGAAGAGUGCGGUAUGCCGGACUUUGCUUUAUGCACUGUUUAUGUGUUUGUUGAAUGAGUCCAAUGUAACUUGAGAUUUUAAGUGCUCAUUUGUCCGAAAUGUCUAUGUUCCCUGAGAGA